rnacentral:rRNA from 1 species
CUGGAGUAGAGCGCUAAUUGGGUGGUACUCUUUGCCCAAGGAGGAUUACGUGCUUGAGACCAAUAGUGAACAAGUACCAUGAGGGAAGGGUGAAAAGGACUUUGGAAAGAGGGUUAAGAGGGCAUGAAGCUGCUGGAAGGGAAGUGGAUUGGACUUUUACAUCGCAGUAAGAUUGCAGGCUGUGAUUUCCACUCGUGGGACAUCGCGUGCUGUGUCUCUUGCUGCUCGGUUGGGUUUUGCGUUGUGCCCGAAAUCUCAGCUUUGACUGGAAGAAGGUUUGCGAACUGGACCAUGUCAUUGCCAACUUUUGGCGCAGCAUGCAACCUUGACCAAAAGGUUCAAUUUUACCCGUCUUGAAAACACGGACCAAGGAGUCUAUUGCGUGUGCAAGUGUAAGGGCUUCACACCUGACAGCUCAACAAAGGUGACUGCUGGGACCUCUGCACCAGCAACCAACUGAUCGCUUAGGAGAUGUUUGUGUAUGAGCACACUUGCUAGGACCCGAAAGGUGGUGAACUAUGCCUGAGAAGGGUGACGUCAGGGGAAACUCUGAUGGAAGCUCGUAGCGCUACUGACGUGCAAAUCGUUCGUCUGACUUGGGUAUAGGGGCGAAAGACUAAUCGAACCAUCUAGUAGCUGGUUCCCUCCGAAGUUUCCCUCAGGAUAGCUGGAGCAGAACAGUUUUAUCAGGUAAAGCGAAUGAUUCGAGGCAUUGGGGGUAUGUUACCCUUGACCCACUCUCAAACUUUUAAUGGGUAAGCUCCACUGGUUGCUUAGGUGACGCAGGGGGAGGAAUAACAGCUCUACGUGGGCCAUUUUUGGUAAGCAGAACUGGCGAUGAGGGAUGAACCUAGCAUUGGGGUAAAGUG